rnacentral:rRNA from 1 species
GACGUAGGGGACGAGCGUUGUCCGGAUUUAUUGGGCGUAAAGAGCGCGUAGGCGGCUUGGUAAGUCGGAUGUGAAAUCCCUGGGCUUAACCCAGGGGCUGCUUCCGAAACUGCUGUGCUUGAGUGUGGGAGAGGCGCGUGGAAUUGCAGGUGUAGCGGUGAAAUGCGUAGAUAUCUGCAGGAACACCCGUGGCGAAAGCGGCGCGCUGGACCACUACUGACGCUGAGGAACGAAAGCUAGGGGAGCAAACAGG